rnacentral:rRNA from 1 species
AACGACUCUCGACAACGGAUAUCUCGGCUCUCGCAUCGAUGAAGAACGUAGCGAAAUGCGACACUUGGUGUGAAUUGCAGAAUCCCGUGAACCAUCGAGUCUUUGAACGCAAGUUGCGCCCGAAGCCAAUAGGCCGAGGGCACGUCUGCCUGGGUGUCACAC